UACGAAGGGGGCUAGCGUUGUUCGGAAUUACUGGGCGUAAAGCGCGCGCAGGCGGUCUUCCAAGUCAGUGGUGAAAGCCCGGAGCUCAACUCCGGAACUGCCAUUGAAACUGUUAGACUUGAGGACGAGAGAGGUGAGUGGAAUUCCCAGUGUAGAGGUGAAAUGCGUAGAGAUCAGGAGGAAUACCGAUGGCGAAGGCAGGUCCCUGGGCUGACACUGACGCUCAUGCACGAAAGCGUGGGGAGCAAACAGG
rnacentral:rRNA from 1 species